UACGAAGGGGGGCUAGCGUUGUUCGGAUUUACUGGGCGUAAAGCGCACGUAGGCGGUUUGUUAAGUCAGGGGUGAAAUCCCAGGGCUCAACUCUGGAACUGCCUUUGAUACUGGCAAGCUAGAGUCCGGAAGAGGUAAGUGGAACUCCUAGUGUAGAGGUGGAAUUCGUAGAUAUUAGGAAGAACACCAGUGGCGAAGGCGGCUUACUGGUCCGGAACUGACGCUGAGGUGCGAAAGCGUGGGGAGCAAACAGG
rnacentral:rRNA from 1 species